CUUUGAAAAUAAUUCGGAUUUUAACUUCUACUGUUCUCUCCUUCCUUUCAUUGCCCACUCUCAAGUACUAAUUAAAUUUUGUCUUUUCUACCUUAUAAAAUAAAUAUCUCAUCCAUCUUUUCAAUAGCCACAUCUUCUUCACAACUCACCGGAACUGUUGCAGCAGUUGCCUCCUGCCCAUCCCCUCCUCCAGCUUCCCUGCCAAUCAGUUUGUAAUCGACAGUGGUGAUACCCCUCAUCAUGGUGUUGUUCUCCAGUUGAUAUUCUCAUCUGGGACCCAUCACUGGAGCCACAGCAUUUUUAGAAUUAAAGGCUGAACUUUUUAGCAUGACAGUCACGACCAUCAUAACUGUCACUCAUUUGUCAUUCAGUCUUAUCUCUCACAUCUAUGAUUUUUACAUUCCAGAUAUCUUACAGUGGCCCCAGUAUACCUACCUUCCCCUUUAUGCUGUGGCUCACACAGUUGUCUCUAGCUAAAAAAAAACACCUUCCUCUUGUUAACAUAGAUAACUCCUAUGGGUCCUUUUCACUCUAUCAAUAUCACCUCCUCCAGAAUGUCUGUUGAAACCAUGAGACUCAGGGAAACACUUUUUCUGCUCCCAUAAAGUUCCAUGAUUACUCCAGAUAGAAAUAGUUUACUAUUGCAUUGGAAUGUCUUUUUCCUCCAAAGUGUAUCCCUGGGUCCUAACAUAGUAUUUGGACAUGUGGUAGGAACUCAAGUAGUAUUUGUUCAAUAAAGUUUUUCAGUCAACUAUUGUAUCAAUGCCUUAAUUCUAAGACAUAUCAUUGAUCUAAACAUUUCUUCAAUAAAAAAUAGACUUCUGUUCAUGAUUGAAAAACUUCACAACUUUAUAAACAUUAAUAUAUAAAAGUAUAAUUUAGAAUUGAGAAAUAUGGCAACCACUUUUCUUAAGGAGACAUUCUAUUUUUUUUCCAACCAUGAAAACUGGGAAAUGUCCUUAAAUACCAUUCUUAAAAGCUGUGUUUUUGCAUUUAACAGUCUCCAUAAUUUGAAGUGAAAUGUCAUUCAUUUGGAUGUCAAAUGGCAAAACUAUAUCUUUUUUAAAAUUUAAGCGUAUAUUAUAUAAAAUAAUAACUUCGUGAAAGGUAAUUUUACAGAAUUAAAACCCUGAGUACUCAUCAAAACCAUAUCAGUCAUUUUAUGGAUGAGCAAGCUUGAUCUGGAAGGGAGGUGACAUUAGUUUCUCAGGCCCACAGAGCUUGUUAGUGGUAGAAUUAGAACCAGAACACAAGAUUACCUGGCUUAUUACCAAGGAAGCUUGAAUAAUUAAAAACGUAUUUUUUAAUACUAGGUGUUUGGGUGCUGUCUUCAGCAUUGAGUUAUAAUGAUGAUCAAAUUGGGAAGGCACCCAGCCCUGUGGAAGUUCGUGCAGUGGAGAAGAGGAGAUAAUGGCAUAGCAGUGGAGACACCCAAAGUCAUCCACAGUUUGGCUUUAAAUAGCAUUUCUAAUAUCAUUUUCUCCCUCCCUCCAUGAUGAGGUCUAAAUUUCAACCAUUUGAACUCCUUGCUAUUCCUGGUUCAUUUCCAUGCUUAUUGCCUCUGAGCCUUUGCUCCUGCUUGCCCUGCUGGUUCAUGUCUGCUGGUUCAUGUGUCCUUCCCUUUGGAAGCACAUCCAAAUCCUACCUGAUGUCUAAGACCUAUCUGAAAAGGCAGCUCCUCUACAGAGACUUUCCUAGUUCUCUCUGUCAGUAGUAACUUCUUCCUCCCUUGAGUCCCAUACAACUUUUCUUUCCCUUGUUUGUAGCACUUCUCUAGUUAAGCUUUGUGUUACAGUUAUUUUCUAUCUAUCCAAAUUUCCUUCAUGAUUUUUAGUAAAUCCUGCUGUGAGUUAUUUGCUGCAUAAUUUAAUGAAAUUACUGUAGAGUCAGCAAAGAAGUAGAGAAGAAGAAACACCAAGAAUGAGGAGAACCUAGCAAGGGCAGGCUUUUGGAAGCAAGAGGUAGAUAAUUUAAUAAAAGGAUAGUUAAUAGUUUCAAAUGUGUUAUGACUUUUUGCUCUGAGUCUCUACUUUUUGUAGUUUGUGUUAUUCUGAUGUAUUAUUUAACCUUUGUUCCUUAUCACUUUUAUUUAAAUAUAACUUUCAAUUUGUUUAUCA
rnacentral:lncRNA from 10 species